AGUUUGCAGCCCCCAUGACGUCAGGCCCAACGGCCAAUGGCGGGGCACUGGGGGUUGGGGGCCUCACAAUGGCAGCGCGCGGGUGCAUAUGUCCCCAAUUAGGGCCGGGCGCCGCCAUUGUCCCUUCCUCGCCCCCUCCUCGCGUUGGGGUCUCUGAGCUGAGCUCUCCCCACGCAGUCUGCUCUGGCUAUCGACUAUGGUCGCGGAGCGGCAAGCAGAGACUGCAGCGUGGUGACCUUAUACGGACUGGCCCGGCGGGCGCAGGUGCCAGGGCGGCACAGCAGUGCUGAGCUCAGCUCCCUUCCUCCUGCUGCGUGCUGGGCUGCUACCUGCAUCCACUGCCUCGCGUCCGGCCACGGCAGAACACCAUGAUAGAAAAGUGUAGCAGAACAAAGUUACUCAGUGCACAGCAGCCAGGAAGCAAAGAGGGAUGCAGGAGAGUGCUGGACAAGGAAACCAACACUGUCCCACUGAGAUCGGAGCUGGUUUGUUCAUUACAGAAGCUGGAGGUGAAUCCAUAGCUUCCCGCUUGGCAUGAGGUACCAUGGCCAGCUCUUCAACAAUCUUACCGUCGCUGGCAACGCUUUGUCCUGGAGGCUACCUUGAAGAAAUUCCUGGGUGCGAAUCUUUCUUAAUGGAUUGGAUUGUUAUUAAACCGUUGAAAACCUACCUGGUGUUCAGAGGCAUCAUACUGGCUUAGACUACAUAAGCUAAACCAUUCAAAACAAAAAGAGACCCUUGAGCUUCAACAUUCUUGCAGGCUGGUGUUCUCUGGACAUCUCAUCUGCUACCACUACUGAGCUGACAGAAACAUCUUACCCAGGCCAUUGGUCGUGGAGACAAUCUGGAGAAUGUAAUGAUGAAUUCUGUCAACCUGACUGAACUCAGCAGCACCAGGGAAACACGUGGCUAGGUAUGUCUACAAGGCCCAGCUCGAGCGAGUGUGGACUCACAUCUUGUGGGCUCAAACACUGGAUCCUAUAGAAAGGAGAAAGUGGGCUGAGUGCCCACCAGCAUUUGUCCCUCUCUGCUUCCCGUAUCAUCUGGAUACAAAUGAGACCGGCUCCUCUAUGCUCUUGCUCACUAUGCCUUCCCCGCCAUGACAGGCUGCAUCCUGUCACACAAACCUCUCCUCCCUUAAGCCAUUUCUCCUCAGGUUGGUCACAGCAACGAGUAACUGAUAAGAGGUUCAAACCUGGGCAUUUAGCUCCUCCUUUCUCCCCAUGCCUUCCUGAUUUAAAAAUAAAAAAAUGAAAACCGGC
ensembl:lncRNA